rnacentral:RNase_P_RNA from 1 species
GCAGUACCCCGGCUCUAUCGCUGGCAUCCUUGAGGUGCGAGAGGAAAGUCCGGGCAGCAUAAGGCGCUCCACUUCUGAAAAUGGAAGCUGUCGGCGACGGCAGGUGUAGGCAGAAGAAAAUAACCGCCCCUCCCACGUGGAGGAGCAAGGGUGAGAAGGUGGUGUAAGAGACCACCAGUCUGCGGGUGAUCGCAGAGCUGUGUCGGCUGGAGGCUGCAAGUUCAUGUAUACCAUCGUCAUUAAGGGUUGCCUGCCCGACAGGCCUUGAGCCUGACGAUGGAGGGUAGAACGCUUGAGCGGCAGGGUGACUUGUCGACUGGAUAAAUGAUGGAGCUCUCCUUAUUUCAUAAGGGGAAACAGAACCCGGCUUACCAGGGGGCUGCCUUA